GGGGACUUCAGCGGGAGGGUGCGGUCGCCUGAAGAGGUCUCCUGAGCCUCGGGUGCGUGUGGGCUUGGAGGACUGGAAUAAGAAGAAAAUAUGUUCCAAGCCCUGAGGGCCCUCUUCCUCAUUAGAGGCACACAAGUGGGGCCCUCUAGGCCCCACACCCUCUGGGCGCGUGCCCUCCCUGACUCCCUACGUGAAGACUAAAAAAUUUGAAGACUCAGACCACAUGUUCCUACCUCACAAUCUCUCUGAAAAGAGCCUCUCUAUACUGAACCGGCUCCUGUCACCUGAGAAAUCUGCUGGAAAAGAAAGCUGGAUAUUGAAGCAGCAAGACCCAGAGGAAGAAGCUGCUUCCUCUUUGGAGCUCGAUGGGGUGGCCCUGGGCCUGGCCCCUACCCAGGCCUGACAGAGGCAGGAGGGUAUGGCGGGGGCCUAGGGCUUUGCCCCAGACCUUGGACCCCGCAGCGUCUGCCAGGAGACGUCGGAGGAAACGCGUUUACCACCUGGGCGACCUUGACUGCAGCCGAUUAAAGUUUAAUCCGAG
rnacentral:lncRNA from 1 species